rnacentral:misc_RNA from 1 species
CGCACAUUGCGCCCACCAGUAUUCUGGUGGGCAUGCCUGUUCGAGCGUCAUUUCAACCCUUAAGCCUCUGCCGCUUAGCGUUGGGAGCCUACGGUCCGCCGUAGCUCCUCAAAUUCAGUGGCGGGGUCGGUUCGCACUCUGGACGUAGUAGAUUUCUUCUCGCCCACGAGCGGUGCCGGUCCCCAGCCGUAAAACCCCCCCAAUUUGCAAGGUUGACCUCGGAUCAGGUAGGAAUACCCGCUGAACUUAA